rnacentral:rRNA from 1 species
GAUGAACGCUAGCGGCAGGCUUAACACAUGCAAGUCGAGGGGCAUCGGGAGGGAAGCUUGCUUUCCUUGCCGGCGACCGGCGCACGGGUGAGUAACACGUAUGCGACCUGCCCUCUUCAGGGGGACAACCUUCCGAAAGGGAGGCUAAUCCCGCGUAUAUCGGUUUCGGGCACCCGAGAUCGAGGAAAGAUUCAUCGGAAGAGGAUGGGCAUGCGGCGCAUUAGCUUGACGGCGGGGUACCGGCCCACCGUGGCGACGAUGCGUAGGGGUUCUGAGAGGAAGGUCCCCCACACUGGUACUGAGACACGGACCAGACUCCUACGGGAGGCAGCAGUGAGGAAUAUUGGUCAAUGGGAGAGAUCCUGAACCAGCCAAGCCGCGUGAGGGAAGACGGCCCUAUGGGUUGUAAACCUCUUUUGUCGGAGAACAAAACCCGGGACGUGUCCCGGACUGCGUGUAUCCGAAGAAAAAGCAUCGGCUAACUCCGUGCCAGCAGCCGCGGUAAUACGGAGGAUGCGAGCGUUAUCCGGAUUUAUUGGGUUUAAAGGGUGCGUAGGCGGUCCGUUAAGUCAGCGGUAAAAUUGCGGGGCUCAACCCCGUCGAGCCGUUGAAACUGGCAGACUUGAGUUGGCGAGAAGUACGCGGAAUGCGCGGUGUAGCGGUGAAAUGCAUAGAUAUCGCGCAGAACUCCGAUUGCGAAGGCAGCGUACCGGCGCCAGACUGACGCUGAGGCACGAAAGCGUGGGGAUCGAACAGGAUUAGAUACCCUGGUAGUCCACGCAGUAAACGAUGAAUGCUGGUUGUCCGGGUCGAAUGAGAUCUGGGCGGCGAAGCGAAAGCGAUAAGCAUUCCACCUGGGGAGUACGCCGGCAACGGUGAAACUCAAAGGAAUUGACGGGGGCCCGCACAAGCGGAGGAACAUGUGGUUUAAUUCGAUGAUACGCGAGGAACCUUACCCGGGCUCAAACGGGAGUGGAAUGGACCAGAGACGGUUCAGCCUACGGGCCGCUUCCGAGGUGCUGCAUGGUUGUCGUCAGCUCGUGCCGUGAGGUGUCGGCUUAAGUGCCAUAACGAGCGCAACCCCCGCCGGCAGUUGCUAACGGGCAAUGCCGAGGACUCUGCCGGGACUGCCGCCGCAAGGCGAGAGGAAGGCGGGGAUGACGUCAAAUCAGCACGGCCCUUACGUCCGGGGCGACACACGUGUUACAAUGGGCGGUACAGCGGGAAGCCAGGCGGCGACGCCGAGCGGAACCCGAAAGCCGUUCUCAGUUCGGACCGGAGUCUGCAACCCGACUCCGUGAAGCUGGAUUCGCUAGUAAUCGCGCAUCAGCCAUGGCGCGGUGAAUACGUUCCCGGGCCU